UGCAAGUCGAGCGAACAGAGAAGGAGCUUGCUCCUUCGACGUUAGCGGCGGACGGGUGAGUAACACGUGGGCAACCUACCUUAUAGUUUGGGAUAACUCCGGGAAACCGGGGCUAAUACCGAAUAACCUAUUUCACCUCAUGGUGAAAUACUAAAAGACGGUUUCGGCUGUCGCUAUAGGAUGGGCCCGCGGCGCAUUAGCUAGUUGGUGAGGUAACGGCUCACCAAGGCGACGAUGCGUAGCCGACCUGAGAGGGUGAUCGGCCACACUGGGACUGAGACACGGCCCAGACUCCUACGGGAGGCAGCAGUAGGGAAUCUUCCACAAUGGGCGAAAGCCUGAUGGAGCAACGCCGCGUGAGUGAAGAAGGAUUUCGGUUCGUAAAACUCUGUUGUAAGGGAAGAACAAGUACAGUAGUAACUGGCUGUACCUUGACGGUACCUUAUUAGAAAGCCACGGCUAACUACGUGCCAGCAGCCGCGGUAAUACGUAGGUGGCAAGCGUUGUCCGGAAUUAUUGGGCGUAAAGCGCGCGCAGGUGGUUUCUUAAGUCUGAUGUGAAAGCCCACGGCUCAACCGUGGAGGGUCAUUGGAAACUGGGAGACUUGAGUGCAGAAGAGGAUAGUGGAAUUCCAAGUGUAGCGGUGAAAUGCGUAGAGAUUUGGAGGAACACCAGUGGCGAAGGCGACUAUCUGGUCUGUAACUGACACUGAGGCGCGAAAGCGUGGGGAGCAAACAGGAUUAGAUACCCUGGUAGUCCACGCCGUAAACGAUGAGUGCUAAGUGUUAGGGGGUUUCCGCCCCUUAGUGCUGCAGCUAACGCAUUAAGCACUCCGCCUGGGGAGUACGGUCGCAAGACUGAAACUCAAAGGAAUUGACGGGGGGCCCGCACAAGCGGUGGAGCAUGUGGUUUUAAUUCGAAGCAACGCGAAGAAACCUUACCAGGUCUUGACAUCCCGUUGACCACUGUAGAGAUAUAGUUUCCCCUUCGGGGGC
rnacentral:rRNA from 1 species